AGUCUUAUAGCUCAAUUGGAUAGAGCGUCGGUUUACGGCACCGAAGGUUGAAGGUUCGAGUCCUUCUGAGAUUACAA
rnacentral:tRNA from 1 species